AGGGUUUGAUUCUGGCUCAGGAUGAACGCUGGCGGCGUGCUUAACACAUGCAAGUCGAACGAAGCGCUUGAGAUUGAUUCUUCGGAAGAUUUCUCUUGUGACUUAGUGGCGGACGGGUGAGUAACGCGUGGGUAACCUGCCUCACACAGGGGGAUAACAGUUGGAAACGACCGCUAAUACCGCAUAACCCGCUAGGGCCGCAUGGCCCGGACGGAAAAGAUUUAUCGGUGUGAGAUGGACCCGCGUUGGAUUAGCUAGUUGGCAGGGUAACGGCCUACCAAGGCGACGAUCCAUAGCCGGCCUGAGAGGGUGAACGGCCACAUUGGGACUGAGACACGGCCCAA
rnacentral:rRNA from 1 species